UUUCUUUUUCUUUUUAGUCCUAACACUUGAUUGUUCGUUCACUUUUCUUCGCUGUUCUGAAGCUACGACAUGGUGCUUUCUAAUGCACUUUUUUUCUCUGUUUCCAAACUAAGCAGCGAUGACCUUUGGAAUUUUCAUCGAAGAUGAUCGGUAAGAACCCUUCAAUCUACGACUUAUUUCAGCAUCGUUCUUAGCAGCUCUUCAGUUUCAUCUAAUUCCAUUUCGGAUGCAGGGUUUGGGUUUUGUCUAAUUAAAGGUGAUUUAAGAUUAGACUAUGGCUAUGGUUUCCGACGGAAGUAUGCGAGAUUAUACAGAGGGGUUGCAGUCUUGCACUGAAGCAGCUUAGAUGUGGAUGGCACUUAGUGGACAAAGGACAAAGGCUGCUGAGGAAUAGAGUUUCAGCUCAACACGCUAGGAAAAAGGCAUAACAAUGAAGAGGAAAAGAUAUACUUAAAAUUAUUUGCAGAAUUCAUACCUCAGGGAUAGAUUUUUUCACUUUGCAGAAUAAGAAUCAAAUGCUUAAUGCAAAGACAGUUGCUGAAGAAUACAACAGGAGAGGGAGCAAUGGUGGUACUAAUCAUGUUCAAUGAACUCAUCACAAAAAUAGCUUAGGAAACAUAGAAUUGUAAUAGAGUUUAAUGUUUGUUUUGAUUAUUCUCACUUUGUAGGGUGUAUGUGGAUAAGACAUGCAUUAUUACUAAAAUAGCUAAUGUCAAAUUUCAUUAUGUAUGUUUUUUUGUUGAAAAAAAAUCAUACGUAUUGAAAUGGUAGUGUUUUUUCUCAUUCGUGUUUGAGGACAAACAACUAAGAUCGAUAUGAUUAUCAUGGAUGAUAAGGUUUUUGUUUCAACUAUUUUAUUUAACUUAGUAUUGUGCAUUCAUAUUUGGUACUUUUAAUUUUGGGAAAUAUUUCAUCCAUGAUAGUGAUUUUAUUCAUUGGAACAAUGUAUCUGACUGUUUUGCAGGACCUGCUAUAUGAAGGGACGAUUUUUUGGAAGUGUUUUUAUUGUUAAUUUUUUUCCUUUCAGUUUUGUUUAAUUUUAAUUUGAUUUGGAAAAUUGAUUACGAUUCUAUGAUUGGUUCAAUUUUUAUAUUUCUAAGUUUUCUUAAAUUGAAUAGGAGUGAAUUUAUAAAAUGAUUGUUUAUUUGACAGAUUUUGAUAUUGAUUUUAUGAAAGUUUCUAUCUUGCAGAGAUAGCAUACUAUGUGAGCAAUGAUGAAUCUUACAAGGAGUGAUACAAGUUGGUUACCUCUAACUAUGUGUCAUUACUUGCUUCUGGUAGUUUUUUUUAUGAAUCUUUAUGUGAAAUAAGAUGUUGUAAGAGAUUGCCCUUAACAUUAGCGUAUUUUUCAAGGACUAACAAUUUGUACAAUUAUUGUUUGAAGGUUAAGUUAUGCAGGACACCCGCAGAACAAGAAGGAAUGAAUCAACAAAUCAUAUCACUAAAUUAUGUGAAGAUAUAAAGGGGAUAGUGUUGUACGUAGUUGAAGUUUAGAGGUUGUGACCGCCAUUGUAUGUUACUAAUGUAAUGUGUUGAUUCAUAUUAAAAAAUUUGUUUGGUGAUUGUGGUAGAUAAAUGUUAUGACAGUAGACCUAUAGUCCCCUCUUUUCCAAUUAUGUAAGGGAUGUUUUACAAUGUAUGGGAUUGACGAGGUUACCCUAAUAAAUGAAAACAGAGGUUUAUAUGCC